AUGGUGAUUUUUAGUGUGUAUGUGGUGAACAAACCUGGCGACCUGAUUUACCAGUUGGACAGCUACACGCCACGGGCUCAAGCUGAGAAAACUUUCAGUUACUCAAGCUACAUGAUAAGUGUGUGCAGGUUGCUUUCGGCUAGUGGGACGGCAUCUGAGUGGGCCAUGCAGUGUUGGCCAUCAGUGGCAUGGACGUGAACGGCAAGAACACGUCUGACGGGAAAGGGGUUCUGGAGUAUCUGGGUAAACCUGCUAAUUACCUGGUGUCCAUUAUAUUCUAUCCUGCCUCACUUCUAAAGAGAAGCUCAUGCUGGCUUCCAUGUUCCACUCCCCCUUUGCCAUUGGCUCCCAGCUGUCUCCUGAGUAGGGAAGCUCAGGCAUUAAUAUGCUGGAGAAAGACACAUUCAAAAUGCACUGCCAGCAGACACUGAUAGGGAUCAAGUUUGUGGUUCUAGCAGAUCAUAGGCAAGCUGGAAGAGAUUCUCUUCUCCAAAAGAUUUAUGAGAUUUACUCAGACUCUGCCCUCAGGAAUCCAUUCUACUCCUUAGAAAUGCCCAUCGGGUGUGAGCUAUUUGACCAGAAUCUGAAGCUAGGCCUGGAAGUGGCAGAGAAGGCUGGAACUUUUGGACCUGGGUCAUAGGCUGAACCUGCGAUGGACCUCCAAAUUCUGAGAGUUCCUGCAACAGAAAUAUUGCUGUUUUCACUCCAGUGGAGAUCCCAUCACCCUUGUUAGUGCACUUGAAAAUGGGAGAAUGCUGACACUGAUGAUAUGUACUGAUUCCUGAGCCUUAACACUAUGCUCUUUCCGUCUGUAUAUAUUGUGGCCUUCCUUUCCAACUCUGUACAGAUUAAUUUAUAGAGGAGAUAGGUCCAUAAAUGUUGUAGUAAAUGCUCCUUUGAUCUUGAAAAAAAUAAAAUAAAAUAAAA